rnacentral:rRNA from 1 species
CCACGGGUGAGUAACACGUAUCCAACCUGCCGUCUACUCUUGGCCAGCCUUCUGAAGGAAGAUUAAUCCAGGAUGGGAUCAUGAGUUCACAUGUCCGCAUGAUUAAAGGUAUUUUCCGGUAGACGAUGGGGAUGCGUUCCAUUAGAUAGUAGGCGGGGUAACGGCCCACCUAGUCAACGAUGGAUAGGGGUUCUGAGAGGAAGGUCCCCCACAUUGGAACUGAGACACGGUCCAA